rnacentral:rRNA from 1 species
CUAUACAUGACUCUGCGCAUAUCAAUAAGCGGAGGAAAAGAAACUAACAAGGAUUCCCUUAGUAACGGCGAGUGAAGCGGGAAGAGCUCAAAUUUGAAAUCUUCAAGGUUCUACCUUGACGAAUUGUAGUUUAUAGAAGUGUUUUCUGUUAGUGGAGUGGCAAAAGUUCUUUGGAAUAGGACAUCAUAGAGGGUGAGAAUCCCGUAUUUGACCAUUAUUUUCAGCUGUGUGAUACACUUUCAAAGAGUCGGAUUGUUUGGGAAUGCAGUCCAAAAUGGGUGGUAAAUUUCAUCUAAAGCUAAAUAUUGGCGAGAGACCGAUAGCGAACAAGUACCGUGAGGGAAAGAUGAAAAAGAACUUUGAAAAGAGAGUUAAACAGUACGUGAAAUUGUCAAAAGGGAAGCGUUUGACACCAGUGUUGUUUUUCCGAAAAUCAAUUACGAAUGUUUUGUUUUUGAGGAGUUAUGACUUCAUCGGCUUGCUCCUUUCUUUAUGAAACUUUCUUAAUGCACUUUUCGGUUAACAAGUCAACAUCAAUUUCUUUUGUUGUAAAAGAGUCAUUGGAAGGUGGCUUUUUCUUCGGAAAAAAGUGUUUAUAGCCUUUGGCUUCUGCAAUCGGAGAGAUUGAGGUCUGCAGCGUAGAUCCUUCGGGGUUAGAUACGUUUGUGCUAAGUUAUAGCUUUUCAUAGACAACUUGUUGACUAUGCUUAGUCUUGUAGCUUACUCGCUUAUGCUAUUUUACCUACGCUUAGGAUGUUGAAGAUAUGCGCGACACGGCUCUAUACAUGACUCUGCGCAUAUCAAUAAGCGGAGGAAAAGUACUACCUACGCUUAGGAUGCUGACACACGCGCGUGCUCGACUCUAUACAUGACUCUGCGCAUAUCAAUAAGCGGAGGAAAAGCCAACUACCUACGCUUAGGAUGUUGAAGAUAUGCGCGACACG